GUCCCGGUGCACCCUGAGCGGCGCUCCGAUCCCGCCGGGCAGAAACAGGAGUCUCAACACAAAAGAGUUCCGACCUGUGCGCUGGUACCGAAGGAAGAGACGCUUGGGGUUCCGUGGCCUAGCAGACUCCCUGAGUAGUGCGAGCCAGUGAGCAAGGACCUACACCUACGGGGCCCUGUGCCCUCCCCCAGCUGUCCUGAGGGUCCCCAAGGUGCCCAUUCUGGAGUCCCAAAGGGCUAACUUCAGCUUAGCAGGAGAGCCCUGGGUAAGGCGCAGUCACAAGAAGUCCAUCCACGAUUUGGUCUGAAACCCCAAGCAUCAAAAGGUCAUCUGAGGGCCAGGGAGAUGGCUCUGUGGAUGUGUCAGUCUGAUGACCUGAUUCACACUCUGGGACCCACAGAAUGGAAGGAGAGAACCAAUUCCCAUGAGUCUUCCCUAUCCCCCAUAUGUUAUGGUCUGCACGUUCACACAGUCACAAAUAAUAAAAAGAAUGGUAUUCUUAUCUCUUUAUACUGAAGAAGUUAAACUGUGGCCUGGUCCUGGAACUGGCAUACACACCUAAACCAGCAUAAUUCCUAGGGGAUGGGGAGUGUCUGGGAAUCCCCUCCUCCAGGAGGGCAGUAUCAAGAAGUCUAGUCAUUCCUACUUUCCUGUCCUAUAUCCUGCCGUCUUCCUCUACCCGUCAGUCUCUUUCCCUCAACUUGCUGUCCCCACUUCCUGACAGCAAAUGCUUGGUGUUUGAACCUUCCCCCAACCAGCUUGUCUUUGUAGCCUUCUUCUCA